rnacentral:rRNA from 1 species
UACGGAGGGUGCAAACGUUGCUCGGAAUUAUUGGGCGUAAAGCGCACGUAGGCGGUCUAGCAAGUCGGGUGUGAAAGCCCUCAGCUUAACUGAGGAAGUGCAUUCGAAACUACUAGGCUUGAGUACUGAAGAGGACGACGGAAUUCCCGGUGUAGAGGUGAAAUUCGUAGAUAUCGGGAGGAACGCCUGUGGCGAAGGCGGCUCUCUGGUCCCAUACUGACGCUGAGGCGCGAAAGCUAGGGUAGCAAACAGG